rnacentral:rRNA from 1 species
UACGGAGGGUGCGAGCGUUGUCCGGAAUCACUGGGCGUAAAGGGCGCGUAGGCGGUCAGCACAAGUCAGUUAUGAAAUCUCCGGGCUUAACUCGGAAAGGUCAACUGAUACUGUGCGACUAGAGUGCAGAAGGGGCAACUGGAAUUCUCGGUGUAGCGGUGAAAUGCGUAGAUAUCGAGAGGAACACCUGCGGCGAAGGCGGGUUGCUGGGCUGACACUGACGCUGAUGCGCGAAAGCGUGGGGAGCAAACAGG